rnacentral:rRNA from 1 species
GCGGGGUUUUCGGACCUAGCGGCGGACGGGUGAGUAAUGCGUAGGAAGCUACCCGAUAGAGGGGGAUACCAGUUGGAAACGACUGUUAAUACCGCAUAAUGUCUACGGACCAAAGUGUGGGACCUUCGGGCCACAUGCUAUCGGAUGCGCCUACGUGGGAUUAGCUAGUUGGUGAGGUAAUGGCUCACCAAGGCGACGAUCUCUAGCUGGUUUGAGAGGAUGAUCAGCCACACUGGAACUGAGACACGGUCCAGACUCCUACGGGAGGCAGCAGUGGGGAAUAUUGGACAAUGGGCGCAAGCCUGAUCCAGCCAUGCCGCGUGUGUGAAGAAGGCCUUCGGGUUGUAAAGCACUUUCAGCGAGGAGGAAGGGGUGGUCGUUAAUAGCGGCUACUCUUGACGUUACUCGCAGAAGAAGCACCGGCUAACUCUGUGCCAGCAGCCGCGGUAAUACAGAGGGUGCAAGCGUUAAUCGGAAUUACUGGGCGUAAAGCGCACGCAGCGGUUGGUUAAGUCAGAUGUGAAAGCCCCGGGCUCAACCUGGGAAUUGCAUUUGAACUGGCACUAGAGUAUGUGAGAG